AAGGUACUGAAGUAGAGUUCUGGCUGUUCCUUACGGACAUCUCUGGUGAAUAAUCUGAGAAGGCCUCACUUAUAAUUUGGCUUGAAGAAAACACGAGAGCAAGUCAUGCAAUGUUCAAGUAAGAGUGCAGCAGUCAGAAGAAAAAGCUAUGCAAGGGCCCUAAGGUUGAAAGUGUUCUUAGUGUCUUUGAGAAACAUCAAGGAAUGUGCAAAAGGCAGAAUGAUAGAAGAUGAGAUCAGAGAGGGGAAGUAAAUUCAACAACAGAAAUUGAGGAUGAGGAACAUGGUGUUGCAGUUCAAACCAGUUCCAGCCAAAAUGGACUCUAGUCACAAACAAAUAGUAAUAACAAUCCAAACUUGUGGCUGAAUAGAGUUCUGAAGUUUUGAGAAAGAGGUAAAGAUAUGAAAUAGUUGUCUAGGAGCAGGCAAAAAAAUGGCUUAGAGAAAUUACAAUUGCUACUUAGCACUAAGGGGCCACUUGAGAUUAGAGGUGAUACAUGAAGAGUGAGAUUUGAACUGAGUUUUAAAGAAUGUUAAGAACUUGGAUGGAGCAACAAGGGAGAGAACUUUAGACAAAGAUGAUCUGUAGACCCAAGGCCUGACAUUCUCAUCAUUAUUGUUUGCCUUAGUCUGUGUAUCCUCUAAAAGCCCAAGGCGAGCAUUUAUUUGGAAGGGGAUUUCAGGGAACACAAGUGAGGAAGUGAUUCAGCUCAAAAGUUUUGUUUAGAAUCUACUUCCUAGUACCCACCAGCUUAGGCUGAGUUUCCCAGAAUCAGAUCUGUGUUGGAGAUUUGUGUGUAUGAUGUUUAUUGGGGAGCUUCCCCAGAAACAACACCUUUAAGUACAGGAAACAAUUGAACAGGGACAAAAAUCCUACAGUGAUAAAAUUAUAACAGAAGUCGUAGGUAAUCCUUUGGGGCUCUCUGGAGCUAAAACAGCUUUUCCAAAUUGUCUAUAAAUUGAUGCAAGAGGAACACAUCUUCAUACUUCACGUUAAACAGUCACUGGGCACAGGCUACCCUAGGAGAAAGCUUGUAAACUU
rnacentral:lncRNA from 1 species